AUACUCUGCACUCCCUGAAACCUACGGGAAGAAAAAAACUGAACUUGCAUAUGAAACAGACCAAACCCCAGUUGUGCCCUUUGUUUUUAGCAAGGAUGAGCUGUUAAAAGAUGAUGACCCUCCAUCAAGCUUUAUCUUUAAGGUAGUUGAAUGUUAUAUAAUGUGCUUUUUUUAAAAAUGUAACGGCCUGUGCUAACUUUUCAGUUAUCAGGAGCGUUGCUGAAGAACAUAGUUGUUCUUCAAGAAGAAGAUGCUGCCUACAUGACCCUGUCAUUGGCUUGCUCAAGGUUCAGGGACAUAGUUGGUGAUGACAAGUUCAAGAAUCAGGCACACUUCUUAUGGCUAGAAAGUAAAUAUUGACAUUAAAAAAUAAAAUGCAUAACAAGAACAUCAUUGAUAAUGGUAUGUGAUUUUUUUCACCUCGGGUGUUACAUGCUGGAAUAAAGACAUCUCACUACAAACAGCUCUUCUGGAAGAUGUACUCAUUCUCCACUUGUUUGGAGUGUGGGUUUGAGUACAAAUGCUGCACACCUGGUACUUUUUGUGUAAAUUGGUGAUGAAUAAACUAGUUGUCCCAGAUAGCACAGGUACGUCUGCAAGAUGUCUGGUAAAGAUCUGGAGAUCUGGAAUACAUCUGGUGUGUAAAAACAUCUUAUAAAGGUCUUAGAAAGAGCUGCUUUACAUACAUUCUAAAUCAAAAAUGUCUUGCAGACGUCUUCAAUAUGUCUAUAUGACAUCUUUUAGGAAACGUCUCAGAGACGUAUUGCAGAUGAGCAAACAAUCUAAAUAAUACGUCUUGCAGAUGUAAACGCAGACAUCAAAUAGACGUCUUCAAGAUGUAUGUGUGCUAUCAGGGUGUUAAUCUAGAGGAAAACUAAAAAUCGAAUUUACUUAUGUCAUCCCUUGGAGUUUAAAAGUUCUGGACACCAUUCAAUUGACCUACAGAACUGAGAAAUUAUUCAUAAUGUUUGUAAAUGUUCACUGUCAACUAUAAACCCUAGUUCUUAUUGUGCUUCUUGUGUAUCCAUCAGGUUAUGCUGGGAAGGGAAAGCGAGGUGAACUCCAGGGCAUAAAUUUUAUUCAAAAACCUUCCACCCUGGAUUUUGCAGAUUUGACUGCAUGCAGAUCAGUUCUAAUGAGCUGAUAUAGUUUCCUUACAAAGACUAAAAAUAAUAAAAUAAAAUAAACACUUUUGCAAUCAAUUCUGAGUGACUUGUACAUGAUUUUAUUCAUUGAAAAAAUAAUUUAAAUGU